rnacentral:rRNA from 1 species
UACGAAGGGGGCUAGCGUUGCUCGGAAUGACUGGGCGUAAAGGGCGCGUAGGCGGAUGGCACAGUCAGAUGUGAAAUUCCCGGGCUUAACCUGGGGGCUGCAUUUGAUACGUGUGAUCUAGAGUGAGGAAGAGGGUCGUGGAAUUCCCAGUGUAGAGGUGAAAUUCGUAGAUAUUGGAAAGAACACCGGUGGCGAAGGCGGCGACCUGGUCCUUGACUGACGCUGAGGCGCGAAAGCGUGGGGAGCAAACAGG